UACGUAGGUGGCAAGCGUUGUCCGGAAUUACUGGGCGUAAAGCGCACGUAGGCGGCUUUGUAAGUUAGAGGUGAAAGCCUGGAGCUCAACUCCAGAACUGCCUUUAAGACUGCAUCGCUUGAAUCCAGGAGAGGUGAGUGGAAUUCCGAGUGUAGAGGUGAAAUUCGUAGAUAUUCGGAAGAACACCAGUGGCGAAGGCGGCUCACUGGACUGGUAUUGACGCUGAGGUGCGAAAGCGUGGGGAGCGAAUGGG
rnacentral:rRNA from 1 species